GCAGACCGCCGUGGCCUUUCUCAUUCGGAAGCGUCGCUUAUCGGUGGGGUGUCCGGUAGAAUUUUCAAUUUUGAAAUAAUUGGGACAGAACUUUUUCGCUUAGUUAAGAUGCAGGAGAUUCAAGAGUGUAGUAGUGGUAGAUCGAAGCCAGCAUUGAAAACCUCCAGGUUCCAAAGCCUGAACGAACUUAGACAUUCAUUAAGUCGCGCGGUCGCCACGUGCAGCCCUGGCCGCUGAGACCGAGAGGGGUCGCUCGUGGGCAGCUGGCAGUCGGCAAGAGUUCCGGGCACCCUGACUUCGGUGAAGGUCGUUAGUUAACGCUGUCGAUACCGUGCGGCAGUCUGGAGUCUACUCCGGUGCUAUUUAAAUAGUAACGCCGCACGCUGAUACGCGCCACAGUGGACCCUCUGGGUAUCAAGAAAUCAAAAGUAAUAGGGAUGAAGUGUGUUAAGCAGCUUGCAGUGCACUGCCAAACGUGAUACUAAAGCUCAGCAGCUUGGGGAUUCAGUGGCGAAUGAUGUCUGGAAGCACCCGGUGCAGUAUUUUCAGUAUAGGCCUGAAUGUUAUUUUUCAUACGUAUGGCAUUUAAGGAGAAAAUUAGUGCUUUAUAAUUAUAAUUAAAUAAAAUGAUUUUUCAUCUCA